rnacentral:tRNA from 1 species
GCUGGGGUAGCUCAGUGGUGGAGCACGUCCUUGGUAAGGACGAGGUCGCGGGUUCAAAUCCCGUCCCCAGCUCCA